rnacentral:tRNA from 1 species
GGUCUUUUAGCUCAGUUUGGUCAGAGCAUACGAUUGAUAAUCGUAGGGUCAGUAGUUCAAAUCUACUAAGGACCA